GCUGGCGGCAGGCCUAACACAUGCAAGUCGAGCGGCCGUAGCAAUACGGCAGCGGCAGACGGGAGAGUAACACGUGGGAACGCGCCCUUCGGUUCGGAAUAACUCAGGGAAACUUGGGCUAAUACCGGAUACGCCCUUACGGGGAAAGAUUGAUUGCCGAAGGAACGGCCCGCGUCCGAUUAGCUUGUUGGUGAGGUAACGGCUCACCAAGGCGACGAUCGGUAGCUGGUCUGAGAGGAUGACCAGCCUCACUGGGACUGAGACACGGCCCAGACUCCUACGGGAGGCAGCAGUGGGGAAUAUUGGACAAUGGGCGCAAGCCUGAUCCAGCCAUGCCGCGUGAGUGAUGAAGGCCCUAGGGUUGUAAAGCUCUUUCAGCGGGGAAGAUAAUGACGGUACCCGCAGAAGAAGCCCCGGCUAACUUCGUGCCAGCAGCCGCGGUAAUACGAAGGGGGCUAGCGUUGCUCGGAAUUACUGGGCCGUAAAGCGCACGUAGGCGGAU
rnacentral:rRNA from 1 species